GCGGCUAUGGUGUAGAGGUAACACAGGGGCUUGUGGAGCCCUUAUCACGGGUUCGAUUCCCGUUAGCCGCC
rfam:Parcubacteria bacterium GW2011_GWB1_52_7 TY71_C0001, whole genome shotgun sequence.